rnacentral:rRNA from 1 species
AUGGAUGCUUGGGUUACAGAGAAUGACAACGGAAGGGCAGCUCAAUUAGUUCGUCCGGCUUUGGGAGGAACUUCAAUCGAUUCAGCUCACGGACAGCAAAGACAAGAUCCUCUGGAACCUGAUUGCUAA